GCAGUUUUGGUGUAUAGAACAUGCCCCUGCAGCCUCACUGCUCAAUCCUCUGCCAUUUAGGAGUUAAAUCCCUGUGUUUAUGAACCCUAGUCACACCUCCCUGCAUGUGACUUGCACAGCCUUCCAUAAACACUUCCUGUAGAGAGAGCCCUAUUUAGGCUUUCUUUAUUGCAAGUUCUGUUUAAUUAAGAUUUUCUUAUCCCCUGCUAUGUUAAUAGCUUGCUAGACCCUGCAAGAGCCUCC